GCCUAACACAUGCAAGUCGAGCGGCAGCAUGCUUAGUAGCAAUACUAAGUGAUGGCGAGCGGCGGACGGGUGAGGAACACGUAGGAACCUGCCCAAGAGAGGGGGACAACCAAUGGAAACGUUGGCUAAUACCGCAUAAUCUCUUAGGAGAAGAGUUGCCCGUAAGGGUAGCGCUUUUGGAGUGGCCUGCGUCCGAUUAGCUAGUUGGUGAGGUAAUGGCUCACCAAGGCUGUGAUCGGUAACUGGUCUGAGAGGACGACCAGUCACACUGGGACUGAGACACGGCCCAGACUCCUACGGGAGGCAGCAGUGGGGAAUCUUGGACAAUGGGGGCAACCCUGAUCCAGCGAUGCCGCGUGGGUGAAGAAGGCCUUCGGGUUGUAAAGCCCUUAGGCUGGGACGAAGGGACUGGGACGAAUAAUCCUGGUUUUUGACGGUACCAGCAGAAUAAGCACCGGCAAACUCUGUGCCAGCCGCCGCCGUAA
rnacentral:rRNA from 1 species